UACGGGGGGGGCAAGCGUUGUUCGGAAUUACUGGGCGUAAAGGGCUCGUAGGCGGCCAACUAAGUCAGACGUGAAAUCCCUCGGCUUAACCGGGGAACUGCGUCUGAUACUGGAUGGCUUGAAUCCGGGAGAGGGAUGCGGAAUUCCAGGUGUAGCGGUGAAAUGCGUAGAUAUCUGGAGGAACACCGGUGGCGAAGGCGGCAUCCUGGACCGGCAUUGACGCUGAGGAGCGAAAGCCAGGGGAGCAAAACGGGG
rnacentral:rRNA from 1 species